UAACUCUGGAUUCCCUUCAAAACGCAUAAAUCCUUCGCCUUUUACUAAAGUUUCCCGUGGAGGGGAACACUCAAUUGACAAUUAAGUGAUAAAGCUUUCGUUACUUACAUAAGUUUA